rnacentral:rRNA from 1 species
GACGAACGCUGGCGGCGUGCUUAACACAUGCAAGUCGAACGGAAAGGCCCUGCUUGCAGGGUACUCGAGUGGCGAACGGGUGAGUAACACGUGGGUGAUCUGCCCUGCACUUCGGGAUAAGCCUGGGAAACUGGGUCUAAUACCGGCUAGGAGCCAUUUUUAGUGUGAUGGUUGGAAAGUUUUUUCGGUGUAGGAUGAGCUCGCGGCCUAUCAGCUUGUUGGUGGGGUAAUGGCCUACCAAGGCGGCGACGGGUAGCCGGCCUGAGAGGGUGGACGGCCACAUUGGGACUGAGAUACGGCCCAGACUCCUACGGGAGGCAGCAGUGGGGAAUAUUGCACAAUGGGCGCAAGCCUGAUGCAGCGACGCCGCGUGGGGGAUGACGGCCUUCGGGUUGUAAACUCCUUUCGCUAGGGACGAAGCUUUUGUGACGGUACCUAGAUAAGAAGCACCGGCUAACUACGUG